UACGUAGGGUGCAAGCGUUGUCCGGAAUUAUUGGGCGUGAAGAGCUCGUAGGCGGUCUGUCGCGUCGGCUGUGAAAACCCGGGGCUCAACCCCGGGCCUGCAGUCGAUACGGGCAGACUAGAGUGCGGUAGGGGAGACUGGAAUUCCUGGUGUAGCGGUGAAAUGCGCAGAUAUCAGGAGGAACACCGGUGGCGAAGGCGGGUCUCUGGGCCGUAACUGACGCUGAGGAGCGAAAGCGUGGGGAGCGAACAGG
rnacentral:rRNA from 1 species